UGCAAUGCUACUGUUGGAGCCAAAACACUCAGAUAUGCAGAGCAUCCCAAGAAGAUGCUAAGUACUCCGAUAGUAUUGUGAAGUCAUAGAGAACAAAGUGAUGAACAGUGUGCAGAGUGACUCAGGAGCAUUGGAGAAGGC